CAUUUCGCGGAAAUUUCAUUGUUACGAAAAUAUUUUCGUCACGUGUGACAGCAAUAUUUUAAAAGAUUGAGAUGAGAUCAGAGUAGAUAAGAGGAGAGCCGUAUUAUUGACGUUUAGUUUGAAUUACUCUCGAGUAGAGCGGGUGAGGUGAGGAGUCAUUUUAUCGGGAGUAAUAAGAGAGGAUCCGCGGCCGCGGUUGAGAAGCGCUGUCUCUGGUACAUUCGAAAUUCAAUGUGAUUGCCAUCGCAGCCAGGCAACUUUAAUUCCCAAAUUAUUAUUAUUAUUAUUAUAUUGUUUUUUAUUUAUGCGUAUGACAUUACAGUGUCACGGGCUGGCAAUUUUUCGGCAACGUACAAUGGCAGAUGUUACGGGAAAUAAUGAUGAUGGGUAUUAUAUCGUGUAAGUUUAAAUUGUUGUUUUGGUAAAAGAGAGGACGAUGCGCGCGCAUUCCCGGUGGCCACGUAAACUUCAUCAUCGUUUUAUUUUAUUUCGCGUGUAGAGUAGUGUGGCGAUGUUGGAUGUGUGGAUGUGAGAAUGAGCGAGCGAGAUAAGAUGAUAAGUUGGCACGGAUGCUAUUGCAGGUUGAAAGAGGAUGAAUUUUAGUGUACGCUGGUAGAAGCGUGCGCGGAACCCUGGCAAACAUGGUGGCUCAUUCGUUAGACAUAUAUAUAUCUAUAUAUAUAUAUAUAUAUAUAUAUACUAUGUAUAAAUGUAUGUAUGUAUGUAUGUAUGGGUUUACUCUAUUUGAGAGCCGGUCACGUAUAUACUGAGUUUCAGAUUUACUCAUGCGUGAACACACGAUACUGAAACACAGCAUGUAUAUGCAAGACAAGGAUAUAAAAUAUCAUAUAUAUAUGUAGUAUAAAAUGUAUUUUAUGGAAUAGAAGAGCUGGAAGCAAUCUCUAACAGUUAUAAAUAUUUCUUUCUCUGUUGUCUUCUCCAUCUCAGGCAAUCGAAACAACUAGAUUUUAUUUUUCAAAUUAGGAUGUAAGAUCUCAGAUUGAUUGCAUGAACAGAAGAUAUAUAUGUAUAUAUUUAUUAUUGUUAAUACUUUUUGUCAAUUGAUCAGCUUGUAUAUGAGUAUUAUCAUGUAAUCAUAAAUGAUGAGUAGUGAUUUGAAAAAUUGGAUAUAAAUUUUAAUAAAAUUGAUGUGAUGGAUGUAAAAAUUGAUAUUAGAAAUGUGUAUAUUAUAUCAAGAGAUGGAUAUAUAAGGACCCACGUAUGUGCCACGUAGCAACGACAGCAUCACGCGAGUACGUUAGUGGGAGUUUUAAUGUUUUUGCACACAUGCGCGCUUGCUUAAAACUAAAGUAUCCUAUACUCUGGUCUCUGGUACAGGUACUGAUGCAAACUUUGCUUGUAUUCCAUAUGAAUGCAUGUAGUUUCCACAUACGUGAUAUGUUUAUGUAUCCAUCAGUCGUACUUGCACUUUUUCGCUUCAUCUCGUGGGAAAAUUUAAUGUGUCUGGUUUUCUAACUUAAGCGCAUUUGUAAUUAUAAUCAAUUAUUGAUGAUAGAUAUAUGAACAUAUGGAUAGAUGUAAAAUUGAAUACCAUGAGAUGCAUCAACACGGAUCUGAUGAAUCUAUUGUAUGGAUUUGUCGGUUACAAAGUAUGUAAAAGGAGCGUCAGUAUGCGUUAUACGCAAUUCAAGGUCAAGGGGAAGGUCGCGCGGGUUACUAUCGACUUUUGGUAUCACUGUUAUAAAAUCCUCCCUCGACUUUACUACUACUACUGCUACUGUACUCCAUACUCCACAUGAUUCAACUCAACAGACUCGCAAUAACAACUCGAUAAAAACUUACAACCAAAAGUAAACUGUCAAGUGUAAAAAAUUAAAUGACACUGCAGCAAAGGGUUUGCUAAAAAAAUUCUAAAAACUUUCUCAAAGCAUCCAGGGAAAAAAAAGUUAAUAAAAUAAAUUAAAAUACAUAAUGAAGUUUAAAAAAGUGUACAUAUUAAAUUUACAGCAGAUGGGUACGAACACUUUCUCAAUAUUAUUGCAGUAAAUGCUUCAGGGCCGAUGUUUAUCAGCGUUCAGCCGUCUUUUAAAAUUAUGUAUAACUCAUGUUUUAAAUGUUUAAUUUAACUUAACAUGUAAAUUGUACGUUACUUUUAUUUUAUAUUCAAAUAAAAUAUUAUUUUUCCCUAA